GACGAACGCUGGCGGCGUGCUUAACACAUGCAAGUCGAACGGAAAGGCCCUGCUUUUGUGGGGUGCUCGAGUGGCGAACGGGUGAGUAACACGUGAGUAACCUGCCCUUGACUUUGGGAUAACUUCAGGAAACUGGGGCUAAUACCGGAUAGGAGCUCCUGCUGCAUGGUGGGGGUUGGAAAGUUUCGGCGGUUGGGGAUGGACUCGCGGCUUAUCAGCUUGUUGGUGGGGUAGUGGCUUACCAAGGCUUUGACGGGUAGCCGGCCUGAGAGGGUGACCGGCCACAUUGGGACUGGGAAACGGCCCAGAAUCCUAAGGGAGGCAGAAGGGGGGAAUAUUGCACAAUGGGCGGAAGCCUGAUGCAGCAACGCCGCGUGCGGGAUGACGGCCUUCGGGUUGUAAACCGCUUUCGCCUGUGACGAAGCGUGAGUGACGGUAAUGGGUAAAGAAGCACCGGCUAACUACGUG
rnacentral:rRNA from 1 species